CUGCCCUGCCAAUGAUCUGACUGCUGUUUGCUGUGCGCUUGUGUUGUUUUUGUUGCUUGACCGGCGGCACGCGAGUGUUAGAAAACAAUAAACGGACACAAACUGUAAACGAUAUAGAAUUAUUUGCCUAAUUUGACAACAACUAGAAGCUGAGACAACAGAAUUGGAAUGGAGCGACAGAGAAAAGAGUAGAAGAAAAGAAGCUAACAAACUCGUUCGAUCUAGCGUCGGGUUAGCCCCGAGUGAAACGAAUAAACCUAGACAGAUGCAAUUUCUGCGAAAGAGGGCGGAUUUUUCCAAAGGCGGGUCAUCAGCGAAAUUCUCACUCUAACUAUCCAUGAGGAACCAUAAAUAAACACCUUCGAUGAAGGACCCCUUUUCUUCGCUUCUCAUCUGAAUCUGAGUUGGAGAAAAUCGGUUUAACCGUUUCUGUGGGAUUGAUAGUAGUUUCUUCCCGGUGUAUUUCGAUCACUACUUCUCCCGUGUAUUCGGAACUGGAAUCGGAACUGAGAACCAGUAAAAAGUCUAUCAACUGUUUAGAUUUUGUACCUUUUUACGACAUCACUUACGAUUCAAAUUUAUAACACCAUCAUUCUACAAUUCCGGAUCCGGUAGUUGAGUCUGAGUUAUUGUAAGAGCAGCCGUCGGGACUUUCCUGAACAUUUUGGAAAAUACUACAACUGCUUUCGGAGCCGGAUGUCGGAGACCGGAAAAACCGGAGUUGAUUUGUUCGAUCUUCAACUAAAAGGUUAAGCAAACCAGAAGAACUUACUGAUCACAAUUCUGGAAACGGGAGCCGGAUCCGGAUAAAACUUCGUCUAUCAUUUGAAUAUUAGUUUCAAAAAAUCGGAUCAGCAACUUUUCAGUGCAUUGUUUGUCACAAAGAAUGUUUUGUGCAUUUGUCUUGUUUUUGGCAGUCCUAAAAGUUUCCGAAUUAUCGUGAAAAACAGCUCAAAACUGGGACAAAAAUGAAGACACCUCCUUAACCUGUUCGCCAAUUGUGUUUCGCGAUUAGAAAAAGGCACCGUUUUCGAUUGUUUUCAGAAUAACGGUACAUCUGAAAAGGGUAAAUUUCAUGUGAACGACGUUUCUCGGGCUAUCGAGUCUGUAAUGUUAGAAAAC